rnacentral:antisense_RNA from 1 species
AAUAUCCGAAGAUUUUCGCUGGGCUUAGGGUUGGAUCGGUGAUGAUGCGUACAUUUUCAAUGCUGGAGUCAUACAAACCGCCAAAGAACAUUGCUUUAGCCGCAAGCAUAAAAGCACCAACGCCUAAUAAAACAAGAUGAAUACCCAAAAUAGUGGUCAUCUUAUCGGUAUCGUCCCA